UCCUAAAGUAUCCUAUGAUGAAUUUAAUCAGGCCCUACUGACUUAAAUACCUCUAACUUAUCUAAGUAUUCUUUAACCUAUUCUUUCCCUAUUUUGGCUUGAGUUCCUUCCUCUUUGUUGUUAAUAUGAAUAUGAAUUGGGUCACCAUUAAUCUUUUUAGUGAAGACUGAAGCAAAAUAGGCAUUAAACUCCACAGCCUCAGGUAGGCCUGAGUGUAUGGCAAGGCAUAUAGUACAUUUAGCAAAGAUGGGGAGAAACUAAUUUCCAAGACUUUUUUUUUUUCUGUGUUUAGUUAAUUUAAAUAGACUGAUGAAGGAAUGAGAGAAGAGUGCAAGGUGUAUUGGGAAGAUGAUGUAGGUGUAUGAUCUGUAGGUUUAGUCCUGUUUUUGCCCUGCUUUAAUAUGUUAUUAACACUGUUCUAUAGCUUUUGUAAUGAAUUUAGACCCCAGAAUAGAUAAAGCAAACACAUUUGAAUAGAUAAAUUACAUAAAGUAGAAAGUACGAAGCCCCUCAGAGAAAAUCAGUUGCCUUGUGUAUCAAUCUCCAGUUCUUGUAUAGAUGGGAAUCAGAAUGUUCAUUUUUGGAGAUGUGGCUGCAGAGGGCUUUAUAUAGAUUGGAGCUGCAGCUAAUCUAAACAUUAAGUGACCUCUAUAUAAUAAUCCUAAAGGGGAAUUGAAAUUUCCUUUCAACUAUGUUGCUUUGAGAUAUUAACAGUGAACAUGUAUAAAGUUAAAUUACAAACGCAUAUAAAAACACAAUUAUAUUAACUUUGUUCAUCCUUCACUUAUUUACCAAAAGUGAGCUAAGUUUAGGCUUCGAAAGUUCUGGAUUUCUUGCUACAGAAGAUAGUACCAUUAAUGCUUAAAAUGGAGUGAGGAAUGCAACUCAAUGAUCUAAUCUGCUAUGGACAUUAGUGAUAUUAUAGGUAGGAGAAGAAACACAAUUCUUAGAGCCUGAAUUCAGAUUCUGGUAAAAA